rnacentral:lncRNA from 1 species
GCAGAGAGAGGCAGAGGGACUGAGACCGCUUGGGUCACAAGAUAAUAACAGAACCAUGCCACAGGAGUCCCUGUCAGCUGUGGCCAAAGUCUCCCUCUGACAGAUGAGCAGUGGUCAUAAAGACAGUUAUGACUUGUGUACAAUCUGGCAAGCUUGUCUCUCUCGGCAGCGGAUAUCAAACUCAAGUGUUCAGGAAGAUGUAUGACACUAAACUUUCCAGCAUGCAGAAAAUGGGUGCAGAGUAACCCUGAAGAUGAGAUGCAGGCACAAAGGGAUGCUGACCUUGAACGUGAUUUUGUGAUUCUGGAAGAUGAGCCUCAUGUCUUGCACAAAGUCUUCUACUUGGCAGUAAGCCUGUCACUCAGCCUUUUCUUGAUUAUGUCCAACCACAUAGGCUCUUGCACACCCACAGUCAUCUCUCUAAACUGGUGAGGGAAAUAGCCACAGAAGAGUGAAUGCCACGGUUCAGCAUUUACCUUCCAUCGGGUCCCAGAAAGUCUACAGAAACAACAGAGCCUGUGCCCCUCAGGGAUUAAGAUCACAAAUCCCACAAUGGCCCUCUCAGUCAUGAGACAUCAGGAAGCCAGGGAUCAGGGGUUCACCACCGUUACUUACAUAAUAAUAAUAUGGCAUCUUGGAAAAAAAAGGAGCUCUCAGAACAGCAAUAGACUCUCAAGAGAACAUACUCACACUUCUGCAAGAAAAAGGGACUCAGUCAAAGUGACUUAGAAAGGCAGAGUCUAUACAUGUACCCAGGGGGAAGGCGCCGCUCAAACCCAUCUGCAAAUCUGCCCAAAAUGAGUGCCUCUUGGUUAUAAACUUGUUUGACUGAGUUUUUAUACCAAGGAGUUAUGCUGCGACAGCUCUAUGAUGGAGUGCGGCUUGGGAGAGCAGGCUCUCUGUGAAUGCUAUUCUUCUGGCUCCAAGCCUGUCUGUCCUUAUCCAGGAAAAAGGAGAAAAGAUUGGUUCACAGUGACUCACCAACUGUUCCUGGGGAGCCAUCUCCCUCUGCAGUAUCUCAGAUUCUGGAAGACUCGGUUGACUUCCUAAGGACUGCAUUCUACAGAAGAUGCAACUCCAUGGUGUUCUGAAAGGUUGGACAGGAAGUGAGCAGAGGACAUGACCAGUGAAAACAGCCACUGUUCCUAUGCCUGCUAUUAUGCUUUCGUGAAUGGCUGACAGUCUAUCUGGGGCAAGGGUUCUCAGACACUGAAGGACCCCACUUAGAAUCUUAGGUUGUCAGCCCCCUGUCAAUGUCAUGGCAGGAGGCAGCCCUUGGAAAGUGGGCUUUGUAAUGAGUGGUAGGUCCCCAUUUCCUGACAGAGAUUGCUGGGAGCACAAGGAGACUAGGCACAGUAAAAUGGUCUUCAAAAAAAUUCUGGGAAUCUUGAACUUCUAAGAGUCCAUUGCAAGGUGGUGAAAUGUGGGAAGUAGUCAGUCAUGCUUAUUUUUCUUUCAUAAGUACAUAGAAAGCAAAAGUAGUGUAUUCUACCCCCAAUCUUUUGGACAAGAGGCUUUAGUAUACAACUUUGAGAAAAGGCAGUAGUGGUGUGUAGGCAAAGGACCCAGCCUUUAUAUCAGGAGAGAUGGCUCCCUAACAGAGAGAACAUUAACCUUUUGCUGAGAGCAUCUUGAGACAGCUCUCUGGGUCUUCCUGUUUGGUAUCUGUUAAGAGCCCUUGUGUUUCCCACCUCAAGACCCACACUACCACUCCAUAAGGAUGAUGCAUAUGACAAGGCGGGGGUACUAGGAGACAGAGAAGGGAUCCCAUCCCACUCACAUCUCAGCUUCCACUGUUGGGAUAUGACAGUCCUCAUGGAAGGCUGUGAAACAAGUAUCACAGCAGAAGAGUGUUCCUCCAUCCCGGCACACCUCACAUUCAUCUGAGUUCUGAAUCUAGAAAAUAGAACAUCUUCACCAUUGGCAAUCCUCCACAAGGUGGCCUUUGCACGAAUCUAUAAGGAAAUUGAUGCUUCUGCCUGGUAGAUUUAGGAAAAACAUGGAACACAAUUUGCAAAACAAGGCUUCCUGGUCUUCAGUGAAGUCUGGGAGAAGGGAGGCAUGAACCAGACCCCAUCUUCCCUGUGAAACCAAAGAUCCUGACCCCCAAUCUUAGGGUGCUGGUUUGAAUAAAAAUGGCCCCCAUAGGGAGUGGUGCUAUUAGGAGUUGUGGCCUUGUUGAAACCAGCAUGACUUUGUUGGAGGAAUUCCAUCACUAGGGGGCAGACUUUGAGGUCUAGGUAGUUCAAACCAGACCUAGAGGUUCACAGUCAACUUUCUGCUGCCUUCUAAUCCAGUUGUAAAACUCUCAGCUACUGCUCCAGCACCAUGUCAGCCAGCAUGCUGCCAUGCUUCCUGCCAUGAUGAUAAUGGACUAGACCUCUGAACCGUAAGCCAGACCCAAUGAAAACAAAUUUUUUUAUAA